rnacentral:rRNA from 1 species
UCCGUAGGUGGAUGAUUAAGUCAGAGGUGAAAUCCUGCAGCUCAACUGUAGAAUUGCCUUUGAUACUGGUUGUCUUGAGUUAUUGUGAAGUAGUUAGAAUAUGUAGUGUAGCGGUGAAAUGCAUAGAUAUUACAUAGAAUACCGAUUGCGAAGGCAGAUUACUAACAAUAUACUGACACUGAUGGACGAAAGCGUGGGGAGCGAACAGGAUUAGAUACCCUGGUAGUCC